rnacentral:rRNA from 1 species
AGUGAACGCUGGCGGUAGGCCUAACACAUGCAAGUCGAACGGCAGCACAGUAAGAGCUUGCUCUUACGGGUGGCGAGUGGCGGACGGGUGAGGAAUACAUCGGAAUCUACUUUUUCGUGGGGGAUAACGUAGGGAAACUUACGCUAAUACCGCAUACGACCUACGGGUGAAAGCAGGGGAUCUUCGGACCUUGCGCGAUUGAAUGAGCCGAUGUCGGAUUAGCUAGUUGGCGGGGUAAAGGCCCACCAAGGCGACGAUCCGUAGCUGGUCUGAGAGGAUGAUAAGCCAAACUGGAACUGAGACACGGUCCAGACUCCUACGGGAGGCAGCAGUGGGGAAUAUUGGACAAUGGGCGCAAGCCUGAUCCAGCCAUACCGCGUGGGUGAAGAAGGCCUUCGGGUUGUAAAGCCCUUUUGUUGGGAAAGAAAAGCAGCAGGUUAAUACCCCGCUGUUCUGACGGUACCCAAAGAAUAAGCACCGGCUAACUUCGUG